rnacentral:rRNA from 1 species
GCAUAUCAAUAAGCGGAGGAAAAGAAACCAACAGGGAUUGCCUCAGUAACGGCGAGUGAAGCGGCAACAGCUCAAAUUUGAAAUCUGGCCCCCAGGCCCGAGUUGUAAUUUGUAGAGGAUGCUUCUGGCGACGCGACUUCCGAGUUCCCUGGAACGGGACGCCAAAGAGGGUGAGAGCCCCGUCCGGUCGUUCGCCUAGCCUCUGUGAAGCUCCUUCGACGAGUCGAGUAGUUUGGGAAUGCUGCUCUAAAUGGGAGGUAUACGUCUUCUAAAGCUAAAUACCGGCCAGAGACCGAUAGCGCACAAGUAGAGUGAUCGAAAGAUGAAAAGCACUUUGAAAAGAGGGUUAAAUAGUACGUGAAAUUGCUGAAAGGGAAGCGCUUAUGACCAGACUUGGGCCAGGUGAAUCAUCCGGCGUUCUCGCCGGUGCACUUUGCCUGCCCAGGCCAGCAUCAGUUCGCUUCGGGGGAUAAAGGCUUCGGGAAUGUGGCUCCUCCGGGAGUGUUAUAGACCGUUGCGUAAUACCCUGGGGCGGACUGAGGUACGCGUUCUGCAAGGAUGCUGGCGUAAUGGUCAUCAGUGACCCGUCUUGAAACACGGACCAAGGAGUCGUCUUCGUAUGCGAGUGUUCGGGUGUCAAACCCCUACGCGUAAUGAAAGUGAACGUAGGAGAGAGCUUCGGCGCAUCUCCGACCGAUCCUGAUGUUCUCGGAUGGAUUUGAGUAAGAGCAUACGGGGCCGGACCCGAAAGAAGGUGAACUAUGCCUGUAUAGGGUGAAGCCAGAGGAAACUCUGGUGGAGGCUCGCAGCGGUUCUGACGUGCAAAUCGAUCGUCAAAUAUGGGCAUGGGGGCGAAAGACUAAUCGAACCUUCUAGUAGCUGGUUUCCGC